CCCAAUCCUCCUCUGCCCCCGCUUCAUCAACUUAUAAUAGCAAUUCAACAAUCUCCAUUCACUUUUUUUUCUUCAAAUUAUUUUCUAGGCUUUUUUUUUUCAAGAAAUUUUUUUUUUGUCAUUGAUGUCGCUAUUGAUGAUGUUAAAUCGAAGGAUUUAUCAUUGAAAUUUAUGGAAGAAAUUUCUUGGCUUUUCUUUCUUCCCUUUUUUAAGAAAACGAUUUAUCAUUAAUACCACCAUCAUCACUGCACCAAUACCAUCAAUGGCGGAAAUCAAUUCAACUCCCGAUGUCGCCAUUGAUGGUAUUAAAUCAAGGAAAAAACGCGAUUCUGCUUCUUUGAAAGGGAUGUUGGUCCUUUAAAAUGCCAAGCUAUUGAAAAAAUCAAAAGAGACAUACUCCAAAAGGUAUUAUACAUAUGUAUCUGAUUAAAAAAUUUGUCAGAUACAUAAUUUUUGCGGUUGAGAUACAUAAAUGAUAUCAUUUUUAUGAAUGAAAUAUAAUUUUAGUUAUGUAUCUCUCUUCAAUCUAAUUACUGUGGUAUGUAUAUCGACCAAACAGUUUAAAAAUAAAUGUAUCUCAAUAAUAAAUUUUGAUGUUGAGAUACAUAAUUAACAUUAAUUUCAUGCAUGAGACAUAAUUUUAAUUAUGUAUCUCUCUCUAAUAUUAACAAAAUUAUGUAUCUCCGCCUAAUAACUUCAAAAAUGGAUGUAUCUCAAUUAAUAUGACUACUAACCAAACUGAUUACUAGUUGCUUUGUUUUUUAUGUAUCUCAUUGCAAGGUAUGCAUUACAUUGUCAAAAAGUUUCACCGCAUCCGUUGAGGUUUGACAAUUCUUGCAAAAUUAAAAUUUUAGAAAAUUUCAAAGAAAUUCAGAAAGACGAAGGGGGUAAAGUUGUUUGGUCAGACGAGCAAGUGAUAUUUUUUUGGAAUUUCAAAGAGACGAGAAGAAUGUUUCAACAAGAUGAAUGAGG
rnacentral:lncRNA from 1 species